rnacentral:misc_RNA from 1 species
AAGACUAUAGACCUGCGGAGUACCUGCGGAAGGAUCAUUACCAAUUUUAUAUAAUAGUUUGCCUGUGACGGACUAGUCUGUUACAGGUAUUAACUACUAUUGUAAACGUUGAACUAGAUCAAUUGGUGUGGAUUGCUUGGGAAUGGACGAAGCGACAAGCCUCUUCCGGACAGGCAAACCCCACACUGAUAACCUUUUCAAUAUAUACUACUAGUACAUACUACAAACAAACAAACAAAA